rnacentral:rRNA from 1 species
GGAAUUGACGGGGACCCGCACAAGCGUUGGAGCAUGUGGUUUAAUUCGAAGCAACGCGAAGAACCUUACCAAAUCUUGACAUCCCCCUGACGGCUGCGUAAAGGCAGAGUUCUUUCGGGACAGGGGAGACAGGUGGUGCAUGGUUGUCGUCAGCUCGUGUCGUGAGAUGUUGGGUUAAGUCCCGCAACGAGCGCAACCCUUACCUUUAGUAGCCAGCGAGAGAGGUCGGGCACUCUAGAGGGACUGCCAGGGAUAACCUGGAGGAAGGUGGGGAUGACGUCAAAUCAUCAUGCCCCUUAUGAUUUGGGCUACACACGUGCUACAAUGGCGUAAACAAAGGGAAGCGAACCUGUGAAGGGGAGCGAAUCCCAAAAAUAACGUCUCAGUUCGGAUUGUAGUCUGCAACUCGACUACAUGAAGCUGGAAUCGCUAGUAAUCGCGAAUCAGAAUGUCGCGGUGAAUACGUUCCCGGGUCUUGUACACACCGCCCGUCACACCAUGGGAGUUGGUAACGCCCGAAGUCAGUGACCUAACCGAGAGGGAGGAGCUGCCGAAGGCGGGACUGAUAACUGGGGUGAAGUCGUAACAAGGUAGCCGU